rnacentral:rRNA from 1 species
CCUACGGGAGGCAGCAGUGGGGAAUAUUGCGCAAUGGGCGAAAGCCUGACGCAGCGACGCCGCGUGAGGGAUGAAGGUCUUCGGAUCGUAAACCUCUGUCAGCAGGGAAGAACGGUCACUGUGCUAAUCAGCAGUGAAUUGACGGUACCUGCAAAGGAAGCACAGGCUAACUCCGUGCCCGCAGCCGCGGUAAUACGGAGGGUUCGAACGUUAAUCGGAAUUGCUGGGCGUAAAGCGCUGGUAGGCGUUAUGUCAAGUCAAGGGUGAAAUCCCCGGCCUCAACGUGGGGACUGCCUUUGAAACUGGCAAACUGGAGUGUGUGAGAGGAUAGUGGAAUUCCAGGUGUAGGAGUGAAAUCCGUAGAUAUCUGGAGGAACAUCAGUGGCGAAGGCGACUAUCUGGCACAUAACUGACGCUGAGGAGCGAAAGCGUGGGUAGCAAACAGGAUUAGAUACCCUGGUAGUC